AUUUCACUGGACAUCCCUGUGUACCUGAAGCCUUCUGAAGUCUGCAGGUAGCCUGGCCCCUUUGAGGUGAUGGAGUGGGGCCAUUCAGCUCAGGAAAUGAUGGACACACAGACAGACCAGUGCUUUAAGGGCUACCCUGAGAGGUGGUUUUCUCUUGGAUAUAUCCCAUGGCUGCCAUCAAUUUGUGGCUUCCUUGACCUGUGAGCAGGAUCAGUGGGACCAGGAUAUUAUAUUCCGUCUCAUCCGAUACCUCCCCAGGCUGAAUUUGCCAUCUAUUCAAGCAGGAGCUAUUGCAAAGCUCUGACCAUCUGUGGUGCCUUGCUCACGCUUUCUCCAGGCCUACACACUUCCCUUGAUGCAAGAGGACUCUACCUUUAUGUCAUUCUCAGGAUUUCAUCCUGAAUUUAUAAAAGAAAAUAUCUGCUUCCCCUGAUCUCUAUUUCUUUCCUAGUAAUAUCAACCUUUCUAUUUGUUUUUACUAUUAUCUGGCACUAAUCUGGUAUCUCAUUAUAAUCCCAGCUCUCUGUUCCUUACACUUGUAGACAACUGACACUAUAUUUAAAUAUACACAAAAUUCAGUAUCUUUUCCAUCUUCAUUGUGUUGCAUUUACCUACAUUGAAUUUCAGAUUCCAUUCCAUUGCCUUUUCACUUUACAGACUGCUAAGCUUCUACAGCUUCUCACAGCCAACCUGCAUCUUUACUGUCUUGAAUAAGCUAAGUGUCUUCAGCAGACUUCAUUGAGACAGAACCGCUUUUUGGUUGCUGAUAGUGGCUGCAGCAGUGCAGUCACUAGACUAGAGUGUCUCUAGACACUAAUUUGGUCAGGGAACCAAGGAGCCCUUUGAAUUAUGAUCAAGCAACCCUGAAGACACUUCUGGCUCUGUAACUCCUGAAGUUUGGCCAGCUUAGAAGUCUGCCAAAGCUUAGGGUAGCACAUUCACUGAAGUGUCCAUAUGUAAGUGACUGGGAAUUUUGGAUGAUUCUGUCAUCUCCAGUAUUUAGACUUGUGACUGUGAACAGUUCACUUCAGAGCCUGCAGCGCUUAUAAGAAAAAGUCUUUUCAGUACUUUGAGGAGUUUUUUCCUUACAAGGAUUCCAAGAAGUUCAAUAUAAAGCCUUUACCUUCAUAAUGAGUGUUUUGGGUUAUUGCUUUUACAAUAUAUAAACACUUCUUACAAUGCAAUUUUCUGCAGACUGCAUCUGGUCUUUCAUAAGAGAUUCUUUUAGUGAUUUCAAUAUUAUUCAUAAUUGCAUUUCUUUAUUUUUUGUUUAUAAUUUUAAGAAAUGCUCACACACACAAACAAACAAAAAAAUUGAACAAACUCUAAGCUUUCAGGGCCAAGAGAUAGCUAAGGAAAAAAAACAAACAACAACCAAGCCAAUGUAUUUUUCCCUUCUGUAAUUCUGUUUGUGAAUAGAAUGUAAAUCAAGUUAGCUAGAUAAUUUGCUAAAGCCCAUGGAUGCAAUAAUUCUUAUGUUGUUCUAACAGAGAAAGAAAGUAGAAAAUGUUACAGGGAGAGACAAUGUGCAAUUAUGUAUGAAUACUAACACCCUAAGGGACAAAUUACCAACAAUGACAGUAAAAUACUGCAGAUUUCUUUUUGUGCUACAGCAUAAUUGACUUACAGUCUGAUGAGAAGAAAAAGCUUAGCUCUAGAG
ensembl:lncRNA